GAGCAAGCCAUAGUGGGGUACUCCUUCUUGUACUCUGCAGCAGCUCCUGCCUACAGGUUCCUGCCCUGACCUCCUUCAGUGAUGGACUGUGAUGUGGAACUGUGACAGGUUUUGGAAUAGCCUCAGCUCUACUUGUUUGCAACCCACAUGAAGAUGAAGCUGCACAUCUGCUACAUAUGUGCCGGGAGGGCUUGGUCCAGCCUGUGUAUGUUCUUUGGUUGGUGAUUCAGAUUCUGAGAGCCCCAAAGGUCCAGAUAUGUACAUGUGAAAUUGCUGGGUCAUGAAGAACAAUUAUGUUAAGUCACGUUAGAAACAACAAGAAUUGAUAUUUGACAUUUGUGUCAGCAAGAAGACCACUUCAGUUGCUUCACAUCUUUGCCAACACCUGCUGCUUUUGAUUUUUUUUCCAUUUGGGAGCUUUGGGAAGGGAACACAUUUCAUAAAUCCCCAUGGCUACAGAGAUUGCGGCAACGGUUAUCAUCCCGCCCAACACCCCUGGAUUCCUGUGGACUGUUAGAUGGCUCAGCGGACUCUGACUCACCAGCACCUGCUACUAUGCAGAACCGUGGUGUCCUCACUGCUGAUAAGAUGCAGCCAGGAAGAGGAAAUGGCUGCUUUGGGCUCCUGGUAGGUAUUAACACUCCCAGUUUUACCUCUGAUGCAAGUCAGAAGAUGGGAAUAAUAAAAAGUUAACCCGUUAUGCUAGGAAUCUGAAUACACUGGACAGAGCCUUUCCCUGGGUUUACAUCUAGAAUCCCAAGGCCACUUCCUGGGGUCUUCCCAACUGUCAAAGACACAAACACUCAACUAAAGCAGCUAAACUGAGUGUCUUCAGUUUGUUUCUCUGGGAAACUGACCUCAGAGCAAGUGCUAGGACUGGGUUUCAGAGGGAUGGGAUUCGGGGAACACCACUGGGUGAGGUGGGAAAUUAGACAAGAAAGAAAAGGAAAAUAGGAAGGGAUGUUUCCCAGUGAGAUAGUACUGUGGAAUCUGAAGAGAAACCCUGAGAGAUAGUGCAGAUCAAGCACUGGUGAACUCAAUCAGUGGGCCAAAUCCAGCCUGGUUGUACAUAGCUUAUUCAAUAUCAUGGUAGUCAGCUAAUUAUCACUGUCAUGAAAUAUCUGAGAUGAUAAUAGUUAAUUAAUAAAGUCAGAAAGGUUUAAUUUUGGUUCAAAACAUUGGAGUCUGUCAUCAAAGCACCCCACUGCUCCGCAUCUCUGGUAAGGUAGUAGAUAUUAAGAUUUACUUUUAUGUAUGUGAGUACACUGUAGCUGUCUUCAGACACACCA